rnacentral:rRNA from 1 species
GUGCCAGCCGCCGCGGUAAUACCGGCAGCACGAGUGAUGGCCGAUCUUAUUGGGCCUAAAGCGUCCGUAGCCGGCCGGACAAGUCCGUUGGGAAAUCGACGCGCCUAACGCGUCGGCGUCCAGCGGAAACUGUCCGGCUUGGGGCCGGAAGAUCCGAGGGGUACGUCCGGGGUAGGAGUGAAAUCCCGUAAUCCUGGACGGACCGCCGGUGGCGAAAGCGCCUCGGAAGGACGGACCCGACGGUGAGGGACGAAAGCUGGGGUCUCGAACCGGAUUAGAAACCCGAGUAGUCC